CAGGGAGACAAAAACUGAUUGUGAUGUCUUAGUUAAAUAUUCUUAGACCACGAUCCUGUCACCUUAGGUCGAUCGGUACCUCAGAUUAAUACUCGAACAUCUAAAUUAAUUGAUUUUUGAAGUUAAUUUCAGUUCCUAAACUUUGUCUAGGACACACCCAACAAGGGUUACUCCUGGGCCAUUAGCUCAGGUGGUUAGAGCGCACCCCUGAUAAGGGUGAGGUCCCUGGUUCAAGUCCAGGAUGGCCCAUUCGUUGUUGGGGGUAUAGCUCAGUUGGUAGAGCGCCUGCUUUGCAAGCAGGAUGUCAGCGGUUCGAGUCCGCUUACCUCCACUGGUAACUUCCUGAUAACGCUAAUUUAAGGAGCAAUUUUUUGUUUGUUGUGAUUUAGAAAUGUCUACUAGAAAGACCCUAGCUUCCUAUCAUUCCUAGAAUUAAUUUUCUUACAUGGUUGAUAAGAUGCUGGGCUCUCUGGAAAAUAUUCCAGUGAAUUCAGUAGAACCUUGACAACUGCAUAGAUAAGUCUGAAAAGAAAAAGCACUUCAUGGAUGCAUAAUUCUUUUUGCUAAUUAGGUUUACCUAUUUUAUAUAGGUUUAAUUAAUUAAAAAAAGAAUUCAUGUUUAAUUCUUGAGUAAGAGCAAAUAUCCAGAUUUUUUGGAUAUUGAUUUGAU
rnacentral:tRNA from 1 species